rnacentral:misc_RNA from 1 species
AAGUCGUAACAAGGUUUCCGUAGGUGAACCUGCGGAAGGAUCAUUAACACGUAUCCAACGUAAAAAACCCCCCUGUGAACAUUCAAACCUGCUCUCGUAGCCCAGUGCGUCCAGCAAUCCCGGUAAAUCAUUGUCGAACAGUAUUGAUUCGGGACUUCUGACAAAUGAGAAGUUACAGUUACGAUUGAGCGGAGAUAGCUGCAUGGCAUUCCCAGCAAUCAGUGUCUGACAGUGUCAUUGAUUGUCGAUGGGGAUCUCGCCUCAACGAUUGCCGAGAGUCGCUCACCGACCGGCAGACAUGCAACCGGGUCCCCACGCCCCUUUAUAACCCCAUUACCUCUGUGAGUCUACGGGAAACCAGUAGGCUAAAAAACCUCGAACAACUGUUAACAAUGGAUAUCUUGGUUCUC